GGGGGCAUUUGAGGCUUCUCCAGGAUAGCAUCGGCUUCCUUCUCAUCCUUCCCUCCACAAACACGUCCUCCCAGAUGGUCCUGAACCGGCCCAUCUGGAGGUUGUUGUGGAUUUUGUUGUUUUAUUACAGAUUUGAGUAACGGUAGACCACUCAUUUAAUUGAGGUCAAAUUAUACGAUAUAUAGUCUACCUGCUCAUGGCGGAACUUUAAUAAUAUGGCAAGGACGAAAAAGAACUACCGCCCGAACAGGGACUUGAACCCUGGACCCUCAGAUUAAAAGUCUGAUGCUCUACCGACUGAGCUAUCCGGGCUCUGAAGGGCUCAGAAUACAACAUUCUUUUUGAAAAAUGGAUAUUGCUAGGUCAGCGAUUACUUCCAUAAUCCACUUUAAAAGCUAUUUGAUAUCCUUCGUAUUUCCCAUAACCGUUUAGACGGUGUCGCCUUAAUGGUUUAAUAAUGUUAGAUCGCGUCGGAUCGGUACAAAACAAAGCAUGUUAUGACGCCAACAGCAGCCCUACCCUCCUGCUCAACACCGCCAGCGUGGUUCCAGAGACCGACAAGCAUGCCUUUUUUUGGGUUACUUUAAAUGCAGAAAACAAGAUAUGAAGUCAACGUUAAUUUGAUUACGCUAAGCAGCGGAAACUUAAAGGUAAAACGGAACGCUUGAAUAUAAAUAAACCGUAUAAAUGAUACAACUUUAUAAACGGCUAUGAGUUGGUUUUAUGCUCUGGUAAGAUCGAAAAUCAUCAACCGAAAUUUCACAUUCAUGAUUCGUCUCGGACUCUGCUCGCAGAAGCCUUACGAAGAAUAUCGACUUGGAUGCCGGCGUGUUCGUACCCAGAGCUGUUGGGAUAUAUAUCCUGCGGCCCGGUACCAUCAACUGGCGCUCCCCGUCGCCUGUGGGUCGAGGUCGAAUCUACCAAGAAUUGGCCAAUCAGCGCUCGUAUCAUCUACCAAGAAUUGGCCAAUCAGCGAUCGUAUAUCGCGUGGCCUUUCGAGCGCCGAUCAGCGCUCGUAUUGCUACCAAGAAUUACUUCACUUCAGUAUUUUGAUUUGCGAGUGACAUUAGAAAUUUACGAAAAUCUUCACACCUUUCGUUUGAUUACUUCACUUCACUUCACUUCACUUCUUAUGAACAUUUCCGAGGUAAGCCAGUCCUUUCUAGCUAUUUUCAAUACAAAUAAAUUGGAUAAUAUCCAAUAGUUAACAUAUCCGUCAAAUGCCAAAAGUCUGCUUCGACGAUAGGUCGUCGUUCAUCAUUGUAACGUGUAUGAAUUAUACGUAUAAGGUUAUGUGUAUGUUCAGUAAUGCAUUUGAUUGAAUAGGUAACGUUAGUUGUAUUAGUUUUAUCAUUUCAAAAAAAUCCGUUACCGUUGGAACACGCAAGACCAGUAAACAUAGCUGCGCAGUAAACACAAGUCAGAAGGCCCGUUACUACCAAGCAACAACUAGUACAGUGAAUAAGCAGUAACUUGUUAGGUAUCUAAUAAAUCGCUGUGUAAUCAGUACUUCAUUCAAUGCCUCUUCCGUGGUCAUUACAAUACGGUUUGUUAAGUAUCUAAUUGUAUCAAAAAAAAUCGCUGUGUAAUCAAUACUUCAUUCACUGCCUCUUCCGUCAGUAAUGACGCAGUUUAUAUUUCCGUUACAUGGCCUAUAUAUGUUACAGCUUAUAUAUGUUACAUAGCUUAUAUUAUAUGAUACACAGCUUAUAUAUGUUACACGGCCUAUGGAGAGCUGCCUAGUCUUUAUUCGUAAUAUUGAUCUGUUUCUCUCGUUUACUAUUCUUAAAACACAUUAGCCUAUUAUAUUAAAUUCAUUCAUUAUAUGUAUUGGAUUGAAUAGGUCCAGUGCCGUUAAAAUUAUCAUUUCAUAAAGUCCAUCGCGAUUUAAAGCAGGUUAACAUCCAACUCUACUGCAAAAUAGGCAUGUAAUAUAAAAUCACUAUUCACAGAGCCUAAUACUAGUCUGCUGUCCUGCAACAGGGCCAUAACGAGGUGGUCACCCUAACUAACCCAUAGUGACAAAUAUACAGAGAGCAGAAUAUUAAAGCAACAUUACGAGGUGAUCAUGACUGAAUAUAACCGUUAUUAAUAUAAUAUUCACAGCUGCCUUAAGUAAUGUGUUCAAGUAUUUGUUGUAUUUUCUUUCUUUGUUCUUAAGAUAUUAAGUGGUAGGCUAUAUAACUUUAUACAGUAAUGGAUUAUGUCAUAGGUAUAACACUUUUAUGAACUGAGAAGAUUCAUGUUGAUUGUAGACUGUGUCUCUGUAAUGGGAGAUUUCUUACUUUAUUAUUGAUAUUUCCUCCACUUUCAGAAUACAAAAUGGAUCCUAAAUUUAGGAAGAAGGAUGGCUGUUUACAACACCAAGGUUUCAGCCAUCUAUUCCUGCCCUGCCACGCGCUGGAUCCAUUGAGGCAUCAUCUGCAGUAACAGUAAAAACGGAACCAACUGACAGCGAGCUCAUGCAGGCUGCCGCAGAAGUUGACCCCGACACAUCGUACGGAGCAUCGGCUGCUGGGACGUGAGAAAUACGGCCGCCAUCUUGGAGUGGUCAACCGGGAGCAGCAACAGCAGCAGAAACAGGAUGCCGGGCUGUGGUCCUGCUCAAAUCGGCGGACCAUCCACAAUAGGAAUCGGGGGAUUACUUUUCACAAGUAAGAUUUAACAUAACCGUACUAUUGGUAUAAUUGGUAUUGAAUAAUAAAACACGCCAAACCAUGUGGCCUUUAUCAUAGCUACACGUAUGACAAAAAAACACAUGAAAAUCAGUGGUAUUCAGUGAGGUAUGAUUAAUUAAAUAUAGGGCUGCAACUAACGAUUAUUUGAAUAGUCGAUUAAUCUGUCGAUUAUUUUUUCGAUGAAUCUAUAAAAAAAAUAAACAUUUUUAAUUGCCGCAUCUUUAUUCAAAAACUGAACAUUACUUCAAAUUCACAGUGCAGACUGAAGUGUAAAAACACCAGGUUAUUGCUCCAACGUCCCAGAACUAUUAAAAGUAAUAUUAAAUAAUAAAACAAUUAAAAAAACAUAACUGGGAUAACACAAUAAAAACAUACAAUGUAUGAUAUACUUUUAUAUGUAUGUAAGGGAUGUCCAUGGUUAACCGGUCAAACCUAUUGAUACCAUUUUCGAGACUCCUUGAAAUAGAACUUGUAAUAUUGCUUUAAUUGCUGAUAAGAUGAUGAUAGUUCAAGAUAGGACCUUAAACAGGUCAUAAUUCUAUCUUUACUAUCUAUUUUAUAUUACUGGGAAAACAAGUUUUCACAAAAAUCUCAAUUAUUAUUUAUUUUUUUCUGUUGCAUUUGAACGCAUCAAUCAUAUUACUGAGCUGACCUGAACACAUCACAUUUUACAUUGUUUGUGACCAUUGGUCAGUUUAUUUUUUUAAGCUAACUAGCUCUAUAUCCUGCCAAUUUUAACAUGGAUUUAAAAACUGCAUUACUAUUUUUAACUGACGGGACUUUCUACACCGUCCGGUUAUGUGAUUACUACCGCUGCUUUGAAUGACUGUUGAUGCACGCGGUGCCGACUCCGAGCCCGUCUGCACCACGUCUGCAGCAGCAGCAGCUGACAGUUUUCGGUUGGACUAGACGGAUACUGAGUUGAAGGAGUUUUUUUAACCCAAAGACAGUGAAGGUACAACACUUCUAUGUAGGCCUACAGUCCAGUGUUAAGAUACGACCAAAAUACAAGCUGUAGUCGCUCACACUAAAGCUCGCUGUGGGCGUGCAUGAACCAUGAACCAACCUGUCGGCGGCUGGCUGUAAACAGUGCUGCGCCUACGAGUAACUUAUCGAUCGCGCGACACAACGAAACGACGACCAAAUUCGUUGCCAACGCAUUUAGAAAUCGAUUUUUAUCGAUUCGUUGUUGCAGCCCUAUUUAAAUGCGCUGACCGUUCAUUGCUCCAGCCAAACGGAUUACACUGAGUGGAGCGGAUGACCACUCCAAGAUGGCGGCCCCACGUCUCGUCAGCGCCAGUAGGCGGUAGCAUUCGAUGCUCCGUCUAUCAUAUAAGAUGUCUAUGGUCAGUGCCGCCGCUCCCAUAACGCGCACUACGCGCUGCGCGUAGGGCCUCAAGUCUUGAGGGGGCCCCCCAAAAAAAGAAAUAAUAAUAAUAAUAAAAAAAUAAAAAUUCUUACUUGUAUACUUCUACUUCUGUAUAUAUGGAUAACUAUUUAAUUUAAAAGAUUUUGGACAUUCCAAUACUUGUGUGUACUGUAUGUAUGUUUUGGCUGUUCUGUGAACUGUGUUUACAAAGUAGAUUUAACUUUUGCGUUUUAAUAAAAUGUUAAACUGUCAGAAACCAAUUCUUUUUUUCGGGGGGGGGGGGGGCAUAAAGGAGUUAUGCUUAGGGCCCCAAAAUAGCUAGCAGCGGCACUGUAUGCACUGUAUAUACAGUAGAUAAGAUAAGAAAGCCCUUUAUGAAUCCUAAAUAAAUUCAUGACGACCAAUAAAAACAACAGUGUUACUCCUUAUGUUUUAUUUGACAAAGACAACAGUGUUACCCCUUCUGGUUUUUUUCAUGACGACCAAUAAAAAACAACAGUGUUACCCCUUAUGGUUUUUUUCAUGACGACCAAUAAAAAACAACAGUGUUACCCCUUAUGUUUUUUUUCAUGACGACCAAAGUAAAACAACAGUGUUACCCCCUAUGUUUUAUUUGAUAAAUAUAGACCCUUAUGUUUAUUUCAUGACAGCCGAUAAAAAACGACAGUUACCCCUCAUGUUUUUUCCAUGUUGACCAAAAAAAAACGACAGUGCCACCCCUGUCUAUGAUUUUGCGGGGAUCCAAAAAUGAGCUGUUUAAAGUGUUAACCUCCGACCUUAACAAUGCAGCAACAAGACACCGGACAUCGGCAUCACGAAGGUUAUACUUGACUUUAUAAUUCACAUGAAAUAGAUAUAAGAGUCUUCCAACAGAAGACAUCAACCGGACUUGAACCCCGGUCUCCAGGGGGUUAGGCAGAGUGCACUCCACUGCACCACUGAGGCGAUGACAUUACACAAUAAUCAAUCAUCAAUAAAGAGGAUAUACAUGACAUUAAAAUGUAUGUGUGUAUUUCUAUUAUUUUCCUUAUGUUUUUUUUCAUGACGACCAAUAAAAAACGACAGUGUUACCCCUUAUGUUUUAUUUGACAAAGACAACAGUGUUACCCCUUAUUUUUUGGUUUUUUUCAUGACGACCAAUAAAAACAACAGUGUUACCCCUUAUGUUUUUUUUCAU